rnacentral:misc_RNA from 1 species
GAUGAAGAACGCAGCGAAAUGCGAUAAGUAAUGCGAAUUGCAGAAUUUCCGUGAAUCAUCGAAUCUUUGAACGCACAUUGCGCCCUCUGGUAUUCCGGGGGGCAUGCCUGUUCGAGCGUCAUUAUAACCACUCAAGCUCUCGCUUGGUAUUGGGGUUCGCGGUUCCGCGGCCCCUAAAAUCAGUGGCGGUGCCUGUCGGCUCUACGCGUAGUAAUACUCCUCGCGUCUGGGUCCGGUAGGUCUACUUGCCAGCAACCCCCAAUUUUUACAGGUUGACCUCGGAUCAGGUAGGGAUACCCGCUGAACUUAAGCAUAUCAAUAAGCGGAGGA